rnacentral:rRNA from 1 species
GAUGAACGCUAGCGGCAGGCCUAAUACAUGCAAGUCGGACGGGAUUCAGGAGCUUGCUUCUGAUGAGAGUGGCGCACGGGUGCGUAACACGUAUGUAACCUACCUUUAUCAGGGGGAUAGCCUCUCGAAAGAGAGAUUAAGCCCGCAUAAAAUCACAGCACAGCAUUGUGUAAUGAUCAAAUAUUUAUAGGUUAAAGAUGGGCAUGCGGAACAUUAGCUAGAUGGCGGGGUAACGGCCCACCAUGGCGACGAUGUUUAGGGGAUCUGAGAGGAUGGCCCCCCACACUGGUACUGAGACACGGACCAGACUCGUACGGGAGGCAGCAGUAAGGAAUAUUGGUCGAUGGGCGGAAGCCUGAACCAGCCAUGCCGCGUGCAGGAAGACGGCCCUACGGGUUGUAAACUGCUUUUAUACGGGAAUAAACCCAGAUACGUGUAUCUGGCUGAAUGUACUGUAAGAAUAAGGAUCGGCUAACUCCGUG